ensembl:lncRNA
AGGACACUGGCGUAAAUUCUCGACCGUUUAACGUUUAUUGAGCUGUGUGAAAAUCCCGGAGGAACCCACCGGAUUGAUUAAUAAAGCUUUAUUUAAUCUAAUAAUCUAAUAACUUUGAUCUCAGCCAAACCGAUUUACUCCAGAACAAAUAAAACACAGAAAAAGGCAAACAAUUACAUUUUUAAGUUAUCAGAGUGACUUGUAUAUCAUGUUUAACCUGAGUAGCGAAAGAGCGGGGGUCUGAACCCCCCUCCCGGCUUGCCAUCGAGCCGGUGGGUGACAGACGUCUCUGAAAACGUCGGCACACUUUUGCAAAUAUGCGAUGUCUUGAUAAACCAAGCAGAUAUUUACACCGCUACUUUCUCGCCUAAAAAUAUGUUAAAAGUUUAUUCGGGGAAAUGAAGGACUCAUUUGUCGGCCGCAUUUGAGACAGCCUCCGUCGACUGGCUGUGACAUAAUCGGCCUUCAAAUGCGGCCUCCGGAGGAUGCAGCCGACAUUUUGGGACACAGCUUCUGACUGAAAGCCGGGAGAAAAAGAGUCACGUGCCUGUACCGGUGUGUUUUUGUGCUGUGGGUUAAUUAACAGAAGGGAGAGAGAGAGUGAGGAUGAAACACAUAAUAUAAGAAUAAUAACAUCUCUUAACAAGAAGUUUUUUUUUAAUUAGGUAAUUUUAGUUUUUUAGUUAAAUUUUAAGAACUGUUUAACAAACACUUGUUUGUGCAGGUUGUUUUUUUUUUUUUAAAUGAAACCUACACCUGCAGCUCUGUUUAACUUCUCACUUUGUGAAAAACUAACGAAAUAUAAAAAAGUCCACCUUCAAAUAAAUAAAAUGCAGCAGUGCACCAUUAAUAUUAUAAAUAUGAUAUGUAGAUAUUUAAAACAACAGCAUAUUAAAUGAUACUGUGUGCAGGUGAUAAUAUUUUUAGGAAGCAGAAUUUGAAUGCAGACGAACUCAAAUGUUGAAGCCUACAAAAAUAUCAUCCAAGCUUUCAUUUAUGAUUGUUCAUGCUUUGAAAUUGUGAUGUCAGAAUUUGAUAAAGUGUGCAGAGCUAGGUGUAGCAAAUCAUUGCUUAUUAAAUCUACUGUGUUAUCUAAUAGCACCAAACUAAUAGAGCUAUCACAUAACUAAGAGACGUGUGUGGCUUAUUACAAAUGGAUGAAACCAUAUUUUACCUUAAUGAAGACAGUAAUCUUUAAUAAGGUGUAGAAAAAGGUGAGUUGUUUGUUGCUGUGGUAAACAAAGAAUGUACUGAAUCUUUUGUACUACACAGAGUGAUGCAGUAUUGACUGUGAUGCUGAUUUGAGUUGUCUCAUUCUGUAUUUUUGUGCUUUGUCUUUUGUUACACAGAGUGAAAGAGAUCUUUGGUUUUGCCUUUGCUGGUAAGUAAACAGUGAUUGUAACUGAGGCAGUAUGAACCUGGCAUUGCGUAGCACAUUUGACAACUUACAUACAGUAGUUUGACUUUUUGUGAUAUGUUUCCAUUUACUGAUGGGCAAAAACACAAAGUCAGGAUUUAUUACCUGUAGCAGCAAAGUCCUCACACGGGACCUCUGACUGUCCCUGAAAAUGUCCCUGAAGUUUAAUAGCCCAUUUAUGUAUGAUUUAAAUUUCUUAUGGCUUAUUGAAUCCAAACAUAGCUAAAUGUCAGUUGUUCAUUUUCUCCUUAUGUUUGUGGAUUUAAGUAGCAGACAAAACAAUGAAAGUGUUUUAGGGGAGUCAGUAUAAGUGGUUGCUCAAACACUUAAGAGCUGCACAGGUAUUGAUUCAUAUUGUCUCUCAAAUUCUGCUGAUGUGUUACAUUAAAGUCAGAACACUGUAGAAGUAUUUUGUACAGUUAAGCAAUAAUGAAAAACUAAGAAAACCAGAGGUGUGAGUGGACAUUGUUAGGUACAUUACAGCCAGUGUGUCUAAUUAGUUUAUCACUUAUUUGGUGAAUAUAAUGUGUUUUAAAAUUUAAUAGAAAAGUUGCCAAAAAGGUACACUGCAAAAUACAUAAAUAUUCCUAGCAACAGGUAUAAUGAAAGGACUUUUUAGUGUAAAAAUUUAAGACAUUUAAUUUUAAUUACAAAACAUGGUGCACCUCUGCUAUUGUAACAUGUCAAUAUUUAAAACUAUUUUAAGAUUUACAUAUUCAUAUCAGACAUGACGAGGUUUUCUGUUGCUUCUGAUUUAUAUAAUUAUUUUGUAUCUAACAUUUUUAAAAGUUUUGGCUUUCACACUUUAGUAGUACUGACCUGUUGUAGAAAAUGUUGGAGCCACAAAGCUUCUGUGUAGGAAAUAUUUGGUAUAUCCUGCACUUGUGCCAACAAAUAUUGGUGGCUAUUCUUUAUAUUUCUGUAGUAAUGAAUGCUUUUAUUACACUUGCUACAGCCAUGUGAGACGCUGCAGUUCAUUUAUCUCCUCUUUAGACUACAUUAAGCUCAUAAAGCCUUAAAUAAAUUAAGAAUUUUACUAGUUAAUUUAUGUCACAGUAAAUUGGAUUGUGUGUGAAGAGGCUCAACAGUCUGAAUCAUCAAACAGUGAUCUGAUUAAUUGUUUCCUUUCUCUAGACUGCUGAUCUGAUCGUCUCCAGUCUGACAUUAUGAUAUACUGUUGAACCAGGUGACCUGCUGCAGAAAACCCUCUCCCUCUAUCAUUAACAAGCCAUUAACAAGCAAAUUCAGUCUGUCCUAUCACUCUCCCUCUCCCUGCUCCAUCUUUUUUGACAAGCCAUUCUAUCUUCUAUCCAUUCUCCGCCAUGUACUCUAUCUAAUUUUGACAAGCAUAAGCCCUAGUUUGACAAGAAACCAAGUUUGACAACAAACCAAGGUUGACAACAAACCAAGUUUUUGGAAAUUGAAGUUACCGCAACUUCGACGAUCUGUUUUCAGAAAUCUGAGAGAUCUCUGCUCUCACUGCUCCUUCUUUCCUGUCGUUAAACUCUCUCAUAUCCACUCAUUUUACUGGAAAUUACAAGUAAGAAGUUGAAUAUACAGUAUAGUAGAAGUCACUGUAGAAACUACUUACACAGCCCUACAUUUGUCAUUUUAAUUUUGCAUUACACUUUGGAAUAAACAUUGAUUGGCUUACAGGUGCAAUUGCUUUGAUAAAUUAUAUAAAAUAUACACCUCUUAAAGGUUUAUUUGUAAUAAGACAAUCUGGUUAUUUUGUAAUAUAUACAUUCAGACUGCUCUAUUUACAUAAAUAUUAAAUUAGAUUCAAAUACAUUUUUCAAGUCUGUUUCAUUGACUAUAACAUUUGACUACAGUAAGUUUAUACUAAUAUUAUUUAAGGACAAACCCAUUUCUAUUACUCAGUGUAAGUAUUGAGUUACAAUUGUCAUUGAGAAGCUGCCCUGAGGACCCAGACUUCCUGUUUCCUGACUGCUGCAGAACAUCCAGCUGAAGAAUCCUCAUCGCCUGUCAUCUGAUCACCACACCACCACAGCUCCAUAUAUUUGCUUUAAAUUUUAGAUAUCUGAAAGAUUUACACAAAGUCUACUUCAAAGCUAAGACUUUUAUUAUAGCCUGUUGAUUGUUGAGAUUUAUUCUGCAUAUUACUUCACAGAAGUAUAGACCUAUUCAUUAACCAGUCUGGUUAAAAAAAAGAAGUAAUAAUAUACAGUUGUUGAAAAAGCUACAAUAAAACGUUUUUAAGGAUCUUUCAAUAACUUUUAUAUUGAGUUUGUAUUUAAGCCAGCCUUUUACAUCAAUUAAACGGUCAUAAGAACACUUUA